rnacentral:rRNA from 4 species
GGGUUGUGAGGUUAAGCGACUAAGCGUACACGGUGGAUGCCCUGGCAGUCAGAGGCGAUGAAGGGCGUGCUAAUCUGCGAUAAGCGCCGGUAAGGUGAUAUGAACCGUUAUAACCGGCGAUACCCGAAUGGGGAAACCCAGUGUGACUCGUCACACUAUCAUUAACUGAAUCCAUAGGUUAAUGAGGCGAACCGGGGGAACUGAAACAUCUAAGUACCCCGAGGAAAAGAAAUCAACCGAGAUUCCCCCAGUAGCGGCGAGCGAACGGGGAGGAGCCCAGAGCCUGAAUCAGCAUGUGUGUUAGUGGAAGCGUCUGGAAAGGCGCGCGAUACAGGGUGACAGCCCCGUACACAAAAGCGCAUGUGCUGUGAGCUCGAUGAGUAGGGCGGGACACGUGGUAUCCUGUCUGAAUAUGGGGGGACCAUCCUCCAAGGCUAAAUACUCCUGACUGACCGAUAGUGAACCAGUACCGUGAGGGAAAGGCGAAAAGAACCCCGGCGAGGGGAGUGAAAAAGAACCUGAAACCGUGUACGUACAAGCAGUGGGAGCACCCUUUGGGGUGUGACUGCGUACCUUUUGUAUAAUGGGUCAGCGACUUAUAUUCUGUAGCAAGGUUAACCGAAUAGGGGAGCCGGAGGGAAACCGAGUCUUAAUUGGGCGUUAAGUUGCAGGGUAUAGACCCGAAACCCGGUGAUCUAGCCAUGGGCAGGUUGAAGGUUGGGUAACACUAACUGGAGGACCGAACCGACUAAUGUUGAAAAAUUAGCGGAUGACCUGUGGCUGGGGGUGAAAGGCCAAUCAAACCGGGAGAUAGCUGGUUCUCCCCGAAAGCUAUUUAGGUAGCGCCUCGUGAAUUCAUCUCCGGGGGUAGAGCACUGUUUCGGCUAGGGGGCCAUCCCGGCUUACCAACCCGAUGCAAACUGCGAAUACCGGAGAAUGUUAUCACGGGAGACACACGGCGGGUGCUAACGUCCGUCGUGAAGAGGGAAACAACCCAGACCGCCAGCUAAGGUCCCAAAGUCAUGGUUAAGUGGGAAACGAUGUGGGAAGGCCCAGACAGCCAGGAUGUUGGCUUAGAAGCAGCCAUCAUUUAAAGAAAGCGUAAUAGCUCACUGGUCGAGUCGGCCUGCGCGGAAGAUGUAACGGGGCUAAACCAUGCACCGAAGCUGCGGCAGCGACGCUGAUGCGUUGUUGGGUAGGGGAGCGUUCUGUAAGCCUGCGAAGGUGGCCUGUGAGGGUUGCUGGAGGUAUCAGAAGUGCGAAUGCUGACAUAAGUAACGAUAAAGCGGGUGAAAAGCCCGCUCGCCGGAAGACCAAGGGUUCCUGUCCAACGUUAAUCGGGGCAGGGUGAGUCGACCCCUAAGGCGAGGCCGAAAGGCGUAGUCGAUGGGAAACGGGUUAAUAUUCCCGUACUUGGUGUUACUGCGAAGGGGGGACGGAGAAGGCUAUGUUGGCCGGGCGACGGUUGUCCCGGUUUAAGCGUGUAGGCUGGUUUUCCAGGCAAAUCCGGAAAAUCAAGGCUGAGGCGUGACGACGAGGCACUACGGUGCUGAAGCAACAAAUGCCCUGCUUCCAGGAAAAGCCUCUAAGCAUCAGGUAACACGAAAUCGUACCCCAAACCGACACAGGUGGUCAGGUAGAGAAUACCAAGGCGCUUGAGAGAACUCGGGUGAAGGAACUAGGCAAAAUGGUGCCGUAACUUCGGGAGAAGGCACGCUGACAUGUAGGUGAAGUGAUUUACUCAUGGAGCUGAAGUCAGUCGAAGAUACCAGCUGGCUGCAACUGUUUAUUAAAAACACAGCACUGUGCAAACACGAAAGUGGACGUAUACGGUGUGACGCCUGCCCGGUGCCGGAAGGUUAAUUGAUGGGGUCAGCGCAAGCGAAGCUCCUGAUCGAAGCCCCGGUAAACGGCGGCCGUAACUAUAACGGUCCUAAGGUAGCGAAAUUCCUUGUCGGGUAAGUUCCGACCUGCACGAAUGGCGUAAUGAUGGCCAGGCUGUCUCCACCCGAGACUCAGUGAAAUUGAACUCGCUGUGAAGAUGCAGUGUACCCGCGGCAAGACGGAAAGACCCCGUGAACCUUUACUAUAGCUUGACACUGAACAUUGAGCCUUGAUGUGUAGGAUAGGUGGGAGGCUUUGAAGUGUGGACGCCAGUCUGCAUGGAGCCGACCUUGAAAUACCACCCUUUAAUGUUUGAUGUUCUAACGUGGACCCGUGAUCCGGGUUGCGGACAGUGUCUGGUGGGUAGUUUGACUGGGGCGGUCUCCUCCUAAAGAGUAACGGAGGAGCACGAAGGUUGGCUAAUCCUGGUCGGACAUCAGGAGGUUAGUGCAAUGGCAUAAGCCAGCUUGACUGCGAGCGUGACGGCGCGAGCAGGUGCGAAAGCAGGUCAUAGUGAUCCGGUGGUUCUGAAUGGAAGGGCCAUCGCUCAACGGAUAAAAGGUACUCCGGGGAUAACAGGCUGAUACCGCCCAAGAGUUCAUAUCGACGGCGGUGUUUGGCACCUCGAUGUCGGCUCAUCACAUCCUGGGGCUGAAGUAGGUCCCAAGGGUAUGGCUGUUCGCCAUUUAAAGUGGUACGCGAGCUGGGUUUAGAACGUCGUGAGACAGUUCGGUCCCUAUCUGCCGUGGGCGCUGGAGAACUGAGGGGGGCUGCUCCUAGUACGAGAGGACCGGAGUGGACGCAUCACUGGUGUUCGGGUUGUCAUGCCAAUGGCACUGCCCGGUAGCUAAAUGCGGAAGAGAUAAGUGCUGAAAGCAUCUAAGCACGAAACUUGCCCCGAGAUGAGUUCUCCCUGAGACUUUAGGUCUCCUGAAGGAACGUUGAAGACGACGACGUUGAUAGGCCGGGUGUGUAAGCGCAGCGAUGCGUUGAGCUAACCGGUACUAAUGAACCGUGAGGCUUAACCUUACAACGCCGAAG